rnacentral:rRNA from 1 species
GAUCAUGGCUCAGAUUGAACGCUGGCGGAAUGCUUUACACAUGCAAGUCGAACGGUAGAGGGGGCAACCCCUCGAGAGUGGCGAACGGGUGAGUAAUAUAUCGGAACGUGCCCAGUCGUGGGGAUAACGUAGCGAAAGUUACGCUAAUACCGCAUACGAUCUAUGGAUGAAAGCGGGGGACCGUAAGGCCUCGCGCGAUUAGAGCGGCCGAUAUCUGAUUAGCUUGUUGGUGGGGUAAAAGCCCACCAAGGCGACGAUCAGUAGCUGGUCUGAGAGGACGAUCAGCCACACUGGGACUGAGACACGGCCCAGACUCCUACGGGAGGCAGCAGUGGGGAAUUUUGGACAAUGGGGGCAACCCUGAUCCAGCAAUGCCGCGCGAGUGAAGAAGGCCUUCGGGUUGUAAAGCUCUUUUGUCAGGGAAGAAACAGCAGCUCUAACACAGUCUGCGAAUGACGGUACCUGAAGAAUAAGCACCGGCUAACUACGUG